GCUACUCACAGCAGUUCCUGCAACCUCGGCUGCCAUGAUCUUUUUUAUUAAUUUAGCCAGUUCGUUGAGAUUCGUGGCAGGAUUUGAGCCUCAUACGAGACCCUUCUCCUGGCCUUUGUGGAGGUGAUUAAAUCAAUUUCUUCUUCUUAAAAAAAAAAAAAAGAAAAAAAGAGAGAGAAAAUCUUCCAUUGCAUUUGGCAUGAGAGCACAGCUAGACUGGAAAUGGAGAACUAUCAGUCGGGGGACUCGAGGGGGGCUCUGGGAUGUCCCAUGCCAAAUCGGGUGCUGGGAGGCCGAGAGUGAGCUGUUUUGUGUGCACCCAGGCAUGAGGACACAUGGACACCUCCUAAGUGACAAAGUUUGGCUUUCUUGGGAUUUCUUUGUGAGAAUACUGUGUGGACAGUCACAGACGUCUGACAAAAGCCGUGUUUUAUUUCCUCCUUUCCAGGAGUUACCAGGCUUCAGAAAUCCUCUCAUUAAAGAAGAUGCUGGAAGGAGGGUUUCUUGGAAGAGCUAGGCCUUAAGCAAGACUGGGAAAUAUAUGUGGCAAACAAGGAAGAGGAGGAAUCCACUUCAGACAAAAAUGGGGCUGAUGAGAUGGCUCAUCAGAUAAAGGAACCUGCCGCCAAGACUGAAGACCUGAGUUCUAUGCCCAGGACUGAUGGAAAGAAGAAGCCCUUAAGUUGUCCUUUGACCUCUACAUGUGUACCAUGGUGCAUAUACCCCCCCGCCACAAACACCCACACCCAUACCCCAAACAAAUACAAAUGUAAUUUUAAAAAUUUAAAGAUCUCUUCUAGUACUAGGUAGGGUUAGGGGCUGAAUCCCACAUUCCAUCUGGAGUUUUUUGGUUUUUGUUGUUGUUGUUGUUGUUGUUGUUGUUGUUGUUGUUUUCAAGGCAGUGUUUCUCUGUGGCUUUGGAGGCUAUCCAGGAACUAGCUCUUGUAGACCAGGCUGGUCUCGAACUCACAGAGAUCCACCUGCCUCUGCCUCCCAAGUACUGGGAUUAAAGGCGUGUGCCACCACCACCCAGUUUCAUCUGGAGCUCUUGUGACUCCAAAUUCUCAAUUCACACUUGACCUUCAGGAAGUCAUGAAGAUGUCUGUCAAGUCAGGAGAAGAGAUUGAAGACUUUGCUUGUUUGAUGACUUAACUUUUAAACACUUGGAUAUAUGGAAGCUGGCCUUGACUGGACUCUUCUCUGUGCUUCAAAAUGUCCCUGGGUGAGUUUAUGGUCCCUAGUCCAUUGAUGCCUUGUUCUCACUUAUAUCACGAUUAAGCCGAGCCUUGUCUCUGAAGAGCUCCACUCUUUCCCAGCAGGCCUGCAGGUGCAAUAGACAGACUUAAUGGGUGGCAAAGCCAAUGGACUCAAGGCCUUGGUGAAUUCCAAGAUCAUGAGGGAGCAGAAAGGUUGAAUCAUGGGAAGACUAGAAGAAAGGAUGUGUGAUAGGUAGGGUUUUAGUUGAGGGGGGGUGGUAGGGGAGGACAGGAGGGAGAAGGGAACUGGGAUUGUCAUGUAAAACAAUCUUGUUUCUAAUUUAAAUAAAAAAACAAUCUGAAGAAAAAAAAAAUCCCUUACCCCCAGCCAGGCCCGGUGGGCCAUCUGAUAGCCCUGCAUUCUCCCAAAUAUGUAUCUCGAGAUUUGGGAUCCUCUAGAGCAGUGGUUCUCAGCCUUUCUAAUGCUGCAACCCUGUAGUAAAGUUCCUCAUGUUGUGGUGACCCCCAAUCAUAAAAUUAUUUCAUUGCUAUUUCAUUACUAUCAUUUUGAUAAUGUUAUGAAUUGUAAACAUCUGUGUUUUCUGAUGGUCUUAGGCGACCUCUGUGAAAGGGUUACUCAAUCCCCAAAGGGGUCACAACACACAUAUUGAGAACUGCUGCUCUGUGGGCACACAGGUCAUGCCUUACAGAGAGGCAGGGUAGGUUUCUGAGUGACUGAAGAACCUGGAAAAACCCUGUAGUUUUCCAAAAUAAUGGAUCCCUACCAUGUCCCCUGCUUCUGAGCUGAGGCCUGAAACACCUCUACAGGCAUCAAAGUCUCUUGCUCCUUUUAGCUCUCUUGAACCUACCCUGCUGUCACCAUACUCCACCAAACUGCAGCAGGCUCUAGAGUGCAGGGAGCAGGGAGCAGGGGAGUAUAGAAGGCUAUAAUGAUACAACAGCAAGACUUUUCAGACUUCUACACUGAAGUAGUUUCCAGAAUAUCCAGCAGACUGACAGGGAGGUCCUGCAUUGACGGGAGGGAGGCAAGGAGAGAGAGAGAGAGAGAGAGAGAGAGAG
rnacentral:lncRNA from 1 species